GGGUCUUUAGCUCAGUCGGUAGAGCAGUAGACUUUUAACCUGUUGGGUGCGCGAGACGCACAAGCCU
rnacentral:tRNA from 5 species